CGAGCGGCGGACGGGUGAGUAAUGCAUAGGAAUCUGCCCGAUAGUGGGGGAUAACGUGGGGAAACUCACGCUAAUACCGCAUACGUCCUACGGGAGAAAGCAGGGGAUCUUCGGACCUUGCGCUAUCGGAUGAGCCUAUGUCGGAUUAGCUAGUUGGUGAGGUAACGGCUCACCAAGGCGACGAUCCGUAGCUGGUCUGAGAGGAUGAUCAGCCACACUGGGACUGAGACACGGCCCAGACUCCUACGGGAGGCAGCAGUGGGGAAUAUUGGACAAUGGGGGAAACCCUGAUCCAGCCAUGCCGCGUGUGUGAAGAAGGCCUUCGGGUUGUAAAGCACUUUCAGCGAGGAAGAAGGCCUGAGGGCUAAUACCCUUCAGGAAGGACAUCACUCGCAGAAGAAGCACCGGCUAACUCCGUGCCAGCAGCCGCGGUAAUACGGAGGGUGCGAGCGUUAAUCGGAAUUACUGGGCGUAAAGCGCGCGUAGGUGGCUUGAUAAGCCGGUUGUGAAAGCCCCGGGCUCAACCUGGGAACGGCAUCCGGAACUGUCAGGCUAGAGUGCAGGAGAGGAAGGUAGAAUUCCCGGUGUAGCGGUGAAAUGCGUAGAGAUCGGGAGGAAUACCAGUGGCGAAGGCGGCCUUCUGGACUGACACUGACACUGAGGUGCGAAAGCGUGGGUAGCAAACAGGAUUAGAUACCCUGGUAGUCCACGCCGUAAACGAUGUCGACUAGCCGUUGGGUUCCUUGAGAACUUUGUGGCGCAGUUAACGCGAUAAGUCGACCGCCUGGGGAGUACGGCCGCAA
rnacentral:rRNA from 1 species